GAUGAACGCUAGCGGCAGGCCUAAUACAUGCAAGUCAAGGGGAUAGCAAUAUCACCGGCGGACGGGUGCGUAACGCGUACACAACGUGCCCAAGGGCGGAGGAAAGCGGCGGGAAACUGCCGGUAAUACUCCAUGGUGUUGUUGAGUGGCAUCACUUAACAACUAAAGUACAAGCGCCCUUGGAUCGGUGUGCGUUCGAUUAGCUAGUUGGCGGGGUAACGGCCCACCAAGGCUUCGAUCGAUAGGGGGGUGUGAGAGCAUGACCCCCNCACGGUACGUNAGACACGACCGGACCUCUACCGGAGGGC
rnacentral:rRNA from 1 species